CGAACUUGGACAUGGCCGACGCGGGUGACCAUGUAGUGUCUGUUCUUUUCAGCUUAAUAUCCGAUACAGGUUGUUCUUGGACCCAAGAUAUAAAACUUAUUUUUGCAAGUUGGCGGAGUGCGUGAAGCCUGCUUCACCUCCGCCGCGUGUCGGCCCGGUAUUGCACAAUCUUCGGGAUCGGCCCACGGUUU